rnacentral:sRNA from 1 species
CGCGCUCGCGCUCGACGCUGUCCUGAAGCGCGCUCCCGGGGAGGUGUUGCAGCCAUGGCGACGGCAGCCGGCGCGACCUACUUUCAGCGAGGCAGUCUGUUCUGGUUCACAGUCAUCACCCUCAGCUUUGGCUACUACACAUGGGUUGUCUUCUGGCCUCAGAGUAUCCCUUAUCAGAACCUUGGGCCCCUGGGCCCCUUCACUCAGUACUUGGUGGACCACCAUCACACCCUCCUGUGCAAUGGGUAUUGGCUUGCCUGGCUGAUUCAUGUGGGAGAGUCCUUGUAUGCCAUAGUAUUGUGCAAGUAAGUCUUUGAAGCAUAAAGGCAUCACAAGUGGUCGGGCUCAGCUACUCUGGUUCCUACAGACUUUCUUCUUCGGGAUAGCGUCUCUCACCAUCUUGAUUGCUUACAAACGGAAGCGCCAAAAACAAACUUGAAGUUGUCUGAAAGCUUGCUCUACACUUUUACAUUCAUCCUCACCUUUUUUUUUGUGGGGUAGAGGAGGUGCAGUAAUUUACUCAGUGAUCUUUCUACUUUCUAGAAACUGUCCUUCAAAGCUCUUUAAGACCCCCUCGUUAGUCAGUUUUUUCUCUUAUAUGCUCUGGUUGAGCUUGAAUAGACCAGUUGUUACUUAAGAAAGAAACAGAGAAAGAUUUUAGCUUUUCAGUCCUAUUUGGCAGAGGACUUCAGCUACCUUCUUACAGUCUUUGGCUGUGUUGGUACCCUCGUGUGCUCUGAGCUAAGCCACAUACUAAAUUGACUUUUUGGUUUGUAUACCCUUGCUCCCGCCUUCUGAUGAAAACACCUUACCCUCACAACCAC